GAUUUCUGACUUGGCGCACCUAGCCCGCCACGGUUACGUGUGUGAGUGCCGGGAUGCGCCUGUCACUUUUCUGGUAAACUAUUAUGCUCUUCACUGAGUGUGAUAGGUAGCCAGAUAUUUUACUUUGAAAAAAUUAGAGUGUUUAAAGCAGGCGGUUGCUAUGAAUACAUUAGCAUGGAAUAAUAAGUUAGGACUUCGGUUCUAUUUUGUUGGUUUCUAGGACUGAAGUAAUGAUUGAUAGGGAUAGUUGGGGGUGCUAGUAUUCAGCGGCCAGAGGUGAAAUUCUCGGAUUCGCUGAAGACUAACUUAUGCGAAAGCAUU
rnacentral:rRNA from 1 species